UCCAAAUCCGCUCUAGCCAAAAUCAAAUCUCAUUGUAACCACCACCUUAGAAAGUCACUAGGCUUAAUCAUCUGCACCCCAAUCCCGAUUAUUUACCACAUGGCAGGAGAACUUCCCCCGGAAUACAGAAUGAGAUUCCUAGCGGCAAAAGAGUUAGCUAAGGCAUUUGCGUACAGCCUCCCAGCGAGUAGGACAGUGUCCCUAAACAGGGACACAAACACGG
rnacentral:lncRNA from 1 species